rnacentral:rRNA from 1 species
UACGCAGGGGGCUAGCGUUGCCCGGAAUCACUGGGCGUAAAGGGUGCGUAGGCGGGUCUUUAAGUCAGGGGUGAAAUCCUGGAGCUCAACUCCAGAACUGCCUUUGAUACUGAGGAUCUUGAGUUCGGGAGAGGUGAGUGGAACUGCGAGUGUAGAGGUGAAAUUCGUAGAUAUUCGCAAGAACACCAGUGGCGAAGGCGGCGCACUGGCCCGAUACUGACGCUGAGGCACGAAAGCGUGGGGAGCAAACAGG